AAAUGAAUAGACGGGGGCCCGCACAAGCGGAGGAACAUGUGGUUUAAUUCGAUGAUACGCGAGGAACCUUACCCGGGCUCGAACGGCAGAUGAACGAUCCAGAGAUGGAGAGGCCCUACGGGGCGUCUGUCGAGGUGCUGCAUGGUUGUCGUCAGCUCGUGCCGUGAGGUGUCGGCUCAAGUGCCAUAACGAGCGCAACCCCUGCCGCCAGUUGCCAACAGGCAAAGCUGGGGACUCUGGCGGGACUGCCACCGCAAGGUGCGAGGAGGGGGGGGAUGACGUCAAAUCAGCACGGCCCUUACGUCCGGGGCGACACACGUGUUACAAUGGCGGCCACAGAGGGAAGCUACCCGGCGACGGGAUGCGGAUCUCGAAAAGCCGUCUCAGUUCGGACUGGAGUCUGCAACCCGACUCCACGAAGCUGGAUUCGCUAGUAAUCGCGCAUCAGCCAUGGCGCGGUGAAUACGUUCCCGGGCCUUGUACACACCGCCCGU
rnacentral:rRNA from 1 species